CCUACGGGAGGCUGCAGUGAGGAAUAUUGGACAAUGGGCGAGAGCCUGAACCAGCGAAGUCGCGUGAAGGAUGAAGGAUCUAUGGUUUGUAAACUUCUUUUAUAUGGGAAUAAAGUGAGGAACGAGUUCCUUUUUGUAUGUACCAUAUGAAUAAGCAUCGGCUAACUCCGUGCCAGCAGCCGCGGUAAUCCGGAGGAUGCGAGCGUUGUCCGGAUUUAUUGGGUUUCAAGGGUGAGUAGGUGGUUAAUUAAGUCGGCGGUGAAAGUUUGUGGCUCAACCAUAACAUUGCAGUUGAAACUGGUUGACUUGAGUAUAGGUGAGGGAGGCGGAAUGCGUGGUGUAGCGGUGAAAUGCAUAGAUAUCACGCAGAACUCCGAUUGCGAAGGCAGCUUACUAAACUAUAACUGACACUGAGGCACGAAGGCGUGGGGAGCAAACAGGAUUAGAUACCCCUGUAGUC
rnacentral:rRNA from 1 species